GAGCCAGUAUAAAUAUUGAAGUAAAUUAUAAUUUUUCGUAGUACAAUUCUUUGCAAGCUUACAGUUACAAGCUUACAAUAACACAAUCUAAAAAUGUUCGGCAAACUGGUUGUAUUGUUCGCCAUCCUGGCUUUCGCUUUCGCGAGACCUCAAGUGUACCCUGGCUAUAGCUAUGGUAGCUACUCCGCCGCCGGCUACCCUGGGUACUACGGAUAUUCCGGGUACUCCAACCCGUCUGUAUCCUAUGGAGGCUACGGAACUUAUGCCGCAUCUCCCUACAGCAGUCUCGGUUAUGGAUACUAUUAGGAGGAUACCGCAGUGUAUUUACAUUUACUAUUGUUAAUCGGCCUUAUUUUGUUUUGAUUUGUUUAUUUGUAUAUUGGAUUAAAUUUGAAUUGUAAAUUA